rnacentral:rRNA from 1 species
UGGGGAAUAUUGGACAAUGGGCGAAAGCCUGAUCCAGCCAUGCCGCGUGUGUGAAGAAGGUCUUCGGAUUGUAAAGCACUUUAAGUUGGGAGGAAGGGCAUUAACCUAAUACGUUAGUGCUUUGACGUUACCGACAGAAUAAGCACCGGCUAACUCUGUGCCAGCAGCCGCGGUAAUACAGAGGGUGCAAGCGUUAAUCGGAAUUACUGGGCGUAAAGCGCGCGUAGGUGGUUUGUUAAGUUGAAUGUGAAAUCCCCGGGCUCAACCUGGGAACUGCAUCCAAAACUGGCAAGCUAGAGUAUGGUAGAGGGUGUGGAAUUUCCUGUGUAGCGGUGAAAUGCGUAGAUAUAGGAAGGAACACCAGUGGCGAAGGCGACCACCUGGACUGAUACUGACACUG